UACCCAUGGUGAGGACACAUACUCAACAACUCUUCAAAUCUUUCCCAAGACUGAGAUAAAGUCUCACUGUCAUUUUGUGCAAAGGUAGAGAUUAGCCUUUUUAAAGCA